ACGAACGCUGGCGGCGUGGAUUAGGCAUGCAAGUCGCGCGACGGAUAGUCUUCGGACUAUUACGGAGCGGCGAACGGGUGAGUAACACGUGAAAAAUCUGUCCUCCCGUUCCGGAUAAUUGGCCGAAAGGCCUUGUAAUACGGGCAAGGGUCCGUGAGGGGCAUCCCUUAUGGAAGGAAGGUGGGAGAGCAAUCUCUUGCCGUGUGAGGAGGAGUUCGCGGCCUAUCAGGUAGUUGGUGGGGUAAAGGCCUACCAAGCCGACGACGGGUAGCUGGUCUGAGAGGAUGGUCAGCCACAUUGGAACUGAGAUACUGUCCAGACUCCUACGGGAGGCUGCAGUCGAGAAUCUUGGGCAAUGCACGAAAGUGUGACCCAGCGACGCCGCGUGGGGGAUGAAGGCCCUUGGGUUGUAAACCCCUUCUAUGGAAGAAGAACGUGCCCGCAAGGGCACUUGACGGUACUCCAUGAAUAAGCCACGGCUAACUACGUGCCAGCAGCCGCGGUAAUACGCAGGUGGCAAGCGUUGUCCGGAUUUACUGGGCGUAAAGCGUGUGUAGGCGGGUCUUUAAGUAGGAAGUGAAAGGUUGGAGCUCAACUCUAACAUUGCUCCCUAUACUGGGGAUCUUGAGUGUCGGAGAGGACGAUGGAACUGCACGUGUAGCGGUGAAAUGCGUUGAGAUGUGCAGGAACACCAAUGGCGAAGGCAAUCGUCUGGACGAAGACUGACGCUGAGACACGAAAGCCAAGGUAGCAAACAGGAUUAGAUACCCUGGUAGUCUUGGCCCUAAACUAUGUUCACUAGGUGUCGGGGGGUAACCCUCGGUGCCGCAGCUAACGCAUUAAGUGAACCGCCUGGGGACUACGGCCGCAAGGUUGAAACUCAAAGGGAUUGGCGGGGGCCCGCACAAGCGGUGGAGCAUGUGGCUUAAUUCGAUGCAACGCGAAGAAACCUUACCAGGGCUUGACAUGUAGCUGCAAGCUCCCGAAAAGGAGUCGCCUUUGAGGGUGCUACACAGGUGGUGCAUGGCUGUCGUCAGCUCGUGUUGUGAAAUGUUGGGUUAAGUCCCGCAACGAGCGCAACCCUCAUGUUCUGUUGCCAGCGAGUAAUGUCGGGAACUCGGAACAAACUGCCUCUGUAAGGAGGAGGAAGGUGGGGAUGACGUCAAGUCAUCAUGCCCCUUACGCCCUGGGCUGCACACAUGCUACAAUGGCCGAUACAAAGGGAUGCGACACUGCGAAGUGGAGCCAAUCUCAAAAAGUCGGUCUCAGUGCGGAUUGGAGUCUUGCAACUCGACUCCAUGAAGUCGGAAUCGCUAGUAAACGCCGGUCAGCAAUACGGCGUUGAAUACGUUCCCGGGCCUUGCACACACCGCCCGUCACGCCACGAAAGUUGGUCUUACCCGAAGUCGCUGCGCUAACCGCAAGGGAGCAGGCGCCGAAGGUAGGGCCGAUGAUUGGGACG
rnacentral:rRNA from 1 species